rnacentral:rRNA from 1 species
GAUGAACGCUGGCGGCGUGCCUAAUACAUGCAAGUCGAGCGAACGGACGAGAAGCUUGCUUCUCUGAUGUUAGCGGCGGACGGGUGAGUAACACGUGGAUAACCUACCUAUAAGACUGGGAUAACUUCGGGAAACCGGAGCUAAUACCGGAUAAUAUUUUGAACCGCAUGGUUCAAAAGUGAAAGACGGUCUUGCUGUCACUUAUAGAUGGAUCCGCGCUGCAUUAGCUAGUUGGUAAGGUAACGGCUUACCAAGGCAACGAUGCAUAGCCGACCUGAGAGGGUGAUCGGCCACACUGGAACUGAGACACGGUCCAGACUCCUACGGGAGGCAGCAGUAGGGAAUCUUCCGCAAUGGGCGAAAGCCUGACGGAGCCACGCCGCGUGAGCGAUGAAGGUCUUCGGAUCGUAAAACUCUGUUAUUAGGGAAGAACAUAUGUGUAAGUAACUGUGCACAUCUUGACGGUACCUAAUCAGAAAGCCACGGCUAACUACGUG